CAUCAGCUAAAAUAUUCCAGUCCUAGGAGGUGUGGAUGAAGAUGAUGAUAAUUCCCAUUUAUCUGAGGGUCCUACCUUGUUCCAUGCACCGUGCCGAAUGCUCUCCUGUGGAUUAUUUUAUUUACUUGGAAUGCCAAAUUUUUGUAAAAUCAAGCCAAUGAAGAAAGCUUGAGAACCACGACAAAGCCAGUCAAAGCCGAUGCCCAGAUGCCUGCGAUCUUAUGCUUUCUCUUGGGAAACAGAAAAGACAGCAAGACCCAGGAAACCAGGAGGAUGAGAGGAGAGCUUGAAAGGGGAAAGCGGAGUCAUCUUUCUCCUUCUGGGUCCCUCUACGUUUAAGGAAGACCUGUUUGUCUCUGGAAAGUGCCUGUGGAAAAUUUGAAAACAGAGCAAGCCCUCUCUCCUCCUCUUCUCCCUGGAUCCUGCCCUCCCCUUGUGCCGUGGCUGGGGAAGGAGGUCGGCAGAGGUGACGUGUGGAGGUCAGGGCCCCACGAUAGAAGGUUCUGAUUCCACAUCUGCUGAGGGAGGCUGUGCCUGGCCCCCAUUUCUGUGACUGGACCCCGGGCCUGGGUCCCGGACGUCUUCUACGACUCCUUCUGCAGGUUACAGUCUUCAGUGUCAUGGCAUCAAACACCACCUGCGCUGGUGGCCUUCCCUGCUAUCUCCCGCCCCAAUCUCUCCUCUGAACCCAGACGCACAUUAACCUGCCUGCUCAGCCCCUUCAUUACUCCUAUCUACUAGACAUCUCAAACUGAACGCAGUCCAGACUGAACCCCUGAUCUCUCCACCCACCGUCUCGUCGAGCUCUUUCCAUCCAUGCGGCUGUCGCUUCUAGGCGACUACUGCUGCACUCCUCCUGGACUCCUCUGCUUCUCUCACACCCACCUCCAACCCUCUUGGCUUGACCUCCCAAACAGCUCCAGAAUCCAACUCCUUCUCACCACUUCCACGACUUCUACCCCGGACCAAGUUGCCGCCAUUUUUUGUGCGGUCUCUUGCAGUGCCUCCUCCCUGGCUUCUGGCCUGCUCCUGCCCCUCUCCAGUCUAGCCCCGACUCCAAGCCAGAAGGGACCCAGUAAAACCCGAGUGAGCCAUCAGGUCCCUCCUCUGGCUGAAGCCCUCUGAAAGCUUCUUAUCUCGCCUGCAGUCAAAGCAAACCCCUCUCCACAGCCUCCGAUAGUCUCUAUCUUGCCUGCUUUCCCUAACCUUAUCUCCCACCACCCUUCCCUGCACUCACGGCCUCUGCGGUUCC